rnacentral:rRNA from 9 species
AACUUUCAACAACGGAUCUCUUGGUUCUGGCAUCGAUGAAGAACGCAGCCAAAUGCGAUAAGUAAUGUGAAUUGCAGAAUUCCGUGAAUCAUCGAAUCUUUGAACGCACAUUGCGCCUCUUGGUAAUCCAGGAGGCAUGCCUGUCUGAGCGUCA